rnacentral:rRNA from 1 species
UACGUAGGGGGCAAGCGUUGUCCGGAAUUAUUGGGCGUAAAGAGCUUGUAGGCGGUCUGUCGCGUCUGCUGUGAAAAUCCGGGGCUCAACCCCGGACUUGCAGUGGGUACGGGCAGACUAGAGUGUGGUAGGGGAGACUGGAAUUCCUGGUGUAGCGGUGAAAUGCGCAGAUAUCAGGAGGAACACCGGUGGCGAAGGCGGAUCUCUGGGCCUUACCUGACGCUCAGGUGCGAAAGCUAGGGGAGCGAACAGG